GACUGCAUUUGAGGCAGGGUUGGAAGUACUCAGCCAGAGCAGAUGCUCCCUUCAGAAGCCUAUGCAGUGGGGAGGGAUCCGCAAAGAGACAUCGAAUAGAACUCACCUGGCGCUCCUCAAUAAAACAAGCAUUUCACUGCCCACCACGGAGAGAAUGUUUUUGGCUGAGGGAAGACUACGUCUGCACAAGCUCUUUGUUAAAGUUCUCACUGAGUUCAUCCAUUCUUCUCCCAAGAUCGGUUUCAGCAGCUGAUUCCCUCGAUUUGGACAGGCUUUAUUCCUGCCAGUGGAAUCUGUUCUACACAAGUUAUAUCAAAGUCACAAUGUGUGAUCAUCCCCAAAUGCAGUGCAUUCAAACUUGCAGAUUUUAUGAACGCCCCCAUAUUCAUAUAAUCAGUUUCAUGGAACAUUGAUGGCUCUUUAUUUCUCAUUACAAGGACUUCUGACAAUAUUUGAAAUACAAGGAUGCUGCCACAGCAUGGCUUGAUGAGUAGUGUGUAGGUCCACACCUGGGAUCCAAACCUGUGAACCUCGGGCCACUGAAGUGGAGCUCAUGAACUUAACUACUAUGCCACUGGGCUGGACCCUCGAGUCUGUUUCUUAAAUAUCAGGGUCUCUAAGUCAAAUAUGCCUGGAUUAGAAUUUCUUCCUUUGUUUUCACGGAUUAGACUACUAUCAGUCUUUGUCGUCCUCCGUGUCCCUACUUAUUAAAUAGGGCUCCUGAGAAAGAAACUGUGCUUCUUUCUGUCUGGGAAUAUUUAGUCUUUAUUUUUCUUAUAUACUGCCAUGUUGCCUUGUCUUUUGGUGACAGAAAUGGGAGAGAUCAAUAAUCAGUAUUGUUGGUUCCAAGAUGUCACGUAAUGGGAGAACUUCUUCCCCCAAUAUAAUGUAGCCAAGAUGUACACCUGUUACAGAUGUUCGGAGGCCUCCAUAACUUUGCAUAGGUACAGAAUGCAUGUUAGUACCGUCUCCUAAAUGUGGGUGAACCAGAAUCGUUCUGUCUUUUCCACAUUCUCUAGAGCUCCCCAAGUUUUCUACCUAGAAAGGGAGGUCUUAGUUGCAAUAACAUAUUGAAGUGCAAGAUCUUCAUGGACUUUGGGAAGAGAAAAAUAAUGUCACGCUUGAAUAACUUAUUUCUUCCUGUGGAGCUCCAGUCUGGUGAGACUUCUCUGAUGGUACACCUGUAUCUUUGAAGAACUUAACAUGCAUGUAUAAAAUGACUCAUUCUACUUUGUCGAGCUCUUAAAUGCUUGUUCACAAAGCGUAGUUAAAGCCCGUGACUGUAUUCAGUAUUAUUAUGAACCUGGAACAGUAAUUUCUCUGUCUUCUGUUUAGUAAAAUCUUUGUCCUGA
rnacentral:lncRNA from 1 species